rnacentral:lncRNA from 1 species
AAACUUAGUUUGUUCUGUAGGAAAUUUUAUUUUUUGCUUUAAUGCCAAAAAUUGUCCUUAACACUCCUAUCUACUUUGUAGUUAGCUCCCUUCUACCCAUUAGGUAUUUGGGAUGUCACAAGAAAACCUUAUGAUGUGAGUAUGGAUGGCAUAAGCCACUCUAAACACAACCUAAGCCAAGGAGAGAAAGAGAUGGAUAGCCAUGGGAGUUUCAUAGGCAACUAAGAGAAAAAGUAUCCAUAGGCAGCCAAGGAAGCUUCAUGGGCAGCCAAAAGGGAAGUUUAGGCGACCAAAAGAAGAAUAAGGCCCACUAAAAAGAGGAGACUUGUGACCAAGAAGGAU